AUUCUAUCUGAUCUAAAUAUUAAUUUAAAUUAAUAUUAUACUCUUUGAUUUGUUUCCGUCUAAAUGCCAACACUUGUUGAAUAUGCAAGCAUCAACUUUACCUAUUUUUUAUCAACUUUGUUUCCUGUUGUGUUGUUUAUCUGUUCAGCCUUGUUCAACGACCCUAUUCUUCCUUUUGACUCAUGAGAUGAACCGAUUGCCAGCUAUCCAUCUUUGUUUGGAACGAUACAUUGUCUCGACUUAGGAAACAUUAUGAAACCGUUUUCAGUUUCACAUUAGUUAGCUGUCACCCAAUGCUAUGCUAUGGUCAAAAAUCCUGGUUGGUCUGGAAAAAAUGAAAAAUCUCAUAGGAAACGAGAUAACUUUAUUUAUUGAAAAAGAUUCAAAGAUAAAAAGGUACCAUCUAUAAAAUUAAAUUGAGAAUUCCAAACAAUUUGGUUAUCUUUUUGUCUAGUCAUAAAUUUGAUUAUGACGAUCCAACUUGAAAUUGCCUUGGAAUUUAAAAGAAUUUUGAUAUUGCUGAUUCCAUGAGAUACAUCAUUUCUGCUACUGGAUUUGGUCAAGAUUUUCCCUCUCUCUAACUUCCAUGAUUUAGCAGAUAUUCAUGCUCUUGGUAAAUGUAUCGUUAAUUUUGUGUCAGCUGAAAUGGAAGAUCAAAUUCAUGGUUUCCUACUUGAAAUGAAAAGGUCCAAAGAAAAGGAUGCAAAUUUUAAUCAUGAAGUCUCGACUCGGAUCAGAUAAGACCAGGUUGGUAAGAUCAAACCAGAAAAAAGCUCUCGAGUUGUUAAACCUUACUUGGUUUUUAUUCAGUGGUAAACAAGUUUUUUGGUGAAAGUUUGAUUAGCCUUCAAUUAUUUAUCAGAAAAAGUUUCAAGUGUUACCUGAGCUGAGGAAAAAGAUUUCAUUUGAAGAUGCAUCUACCAGAAAGUUAACCAAGAAUUCAAUGAAUGUUUUAAAAGAGUUGAGAAUCUUUGGAGGGAAAUCACUUGAAUCACAACUAACAUGAACUGAUUCCAAAGAGACUUCUUUUGGCUAUUUAUAUCCUGAUCAAUCUUGGAAUACUCACACUUUUCCUGGAAACCUUUCACAUUCAAUAGGGAAAUAUUGAAAAUUUCACUUUGAUGUUUCUCAAUUUGUCUCUGAGUAUUAUUUGCUGUUCUUGAAGCGUUUCCACAAAAAAAAUCUCGACAUUCAACUUGUUAUAAUUUUGUUUACUAUUUCAUUCUUCAUGACUAUUGGUGUUCAAGUUUCACCGUUUCAACUUGAGAAAAUUUUGAUUCAACACAAUUUCAGCUCUUCAUUCAAAAUUCACCAACUCUUUGUAUACUCUAUUUACAAUAAUUUAGCAACUUAAAAAGAGUAAACAUUUUCAAUUGUUAUACUUUUGCCGAUGUAUUAAUCUAGCCUGACAGCUGAUUUAUUUCAAUAAACAAGUGACACUGAACACACUACCGUCAA